CCUACGGGGGGCUGCAGUGGGGAAUAUUGCACAAUGGGGGAAACCCUGAUGCAGCGACGCCGCGUGAGUGAAGAAGUAUCUCGGUACGUAAAGCUCUAUCAGCAGGGAAGAAAAUGACGGUACCUGACUAAGAAGCCCCGGCUAACUACGUGCCAGCAGCCGCGGUAAUACGUAGGGGGCAAGCGUUAGCCGGAUUUACUGGGGGUAAAGGGGGCGUAGACGGCAGCACAAGUCUGGAGUGAAAUCCCGGGGCUUAACCCCGGAACUGCUUGGGAAACUGUGCGGCUGGAGUGCAGGAGGGGUAAGCGGAAUUCCUAGUGUAGCAGUGAAAUGCGUAGAUAUUGCGCAGAACUCCGAUUGCGAAGGCAGCAUACCGGCGGCGAUCUGACGCUGAGGCACGAAAGCGUGGGUAUCGAACAGGAUUAGAUACCCUAGUAGUC
rnacentral:rRNA from 1 species